rnacentral:ribozyme from 1 species
UUUUUUUUUUUUUUUUUUUUUUUUUUUUUUUAAAAUUAAAACCGCUCGUUUAAUUUUUUUAACAAUAAAAU